AUAAAUACAUUUGAUGAUGAUGAUGAUAUUAACAAACUUACCAAGUGACCUGUGAUGAAAUCUAUUGUAGAAUAAAUGGAACCUGGAUCCAUUUCAUUCCAUUAACAUGGUUUAUGUGUGUUAUAGCAGUAAUGGGGUUAAACUGAUAUUAAAAUGACAACUCCAUAGGUGGUACCAGGUCAGGGGAGUUCAUCUCUGCUCCCAGCAUCCCUGGGACAGUACUGAUCAACAUAGCUGACCUGAUGCAGAGGUGGACCAGUGAUGUUUUCCUCUCAGUGGUCCAUAGGGUUUUACUGCCCCCUGCUGGAGACUGGAGCACACUGCAGUCCCUGGCUUUCUUUGUGCAGCUGAAGGAUGAGGUCCUCAUCACCUGUUGUGAUGGGUCCAACAAAUAUCCCCAGGUGAAGGCAGGGUCCUAUCUCAUCCAUCAUUCCUUGAAUGUAAUUAGUUUGUGUAUUGUAAUUAUGUUAUUGAAACAGAAUAAGUCAUUAAUGAGAGAAUAAAUAAGUCCAGUCCAA